AUUGAACGCUGGCGGCAGGCCUAACACAUGCAAGUCGCACGAGUGGCGGACGGGUGAGUAAUUUCUGGGAAACUGCCCGAUGGAGGGGGAUAACUACUGGAAACGUUAGCUAAUACCGCAUACCAUCGGAUGUGCCCAGAUGGGAUUAGCUUGUAGGUGAGGUAACGGCUCACCGAGGCGACGAUGCCUAGCUGGUCUGAGAGGAUGACCAGCGACACUGGAGCUUAGACCCGGUCCAGACUCCUACGUGAGGCAGCAGUGGGGAAUAUGGCACAAUGGGGGCAAGCGUGAUGCAGCCAUGCAGCGUGUAUGAAGAAGGCCUUCGGGUUGUAAAGUACUUUCAGCGGGGAGGCGUUACCCGCAGAAGAAGCACCGGCUAAGUCCGUGCCAGCAGCCGCGGUAAUUC
rnacentral:rRNA from 1 species